UACGUAGGGGGCAAGCGUUGUCCGGAUUCAUUGGGCGUAAAGGGUGCGUAGGUGGCUAGGUAAGUCGGAUGUGAAAUCCCGGGGCUCAACCCCGGAACUGCAUUCGAUACUGCCUGGCUAGAGUACUGGAGAGGAGAUUGGAAUUUACGGUGUAGCAGUGAAAUGCGUAGAUAUCGUAAGGAAGACCAGUGGCGAAGGCGGAUCUCUGGACAGUUACUGACACUGAGGCACGAAGGCCAGGGGAGCAAACGGG
rnacentral:rRNA from 1 species